rnacentral:rRNA from 1 species
AUUGAACGCUGGCGGCAUGGCUAAUGCAUGCAAGUCGAACGAAAGCCCUUCGGGGCGAAAGUGGCGAAAGGGCGAGUAAUACGAUCGAACGUACCCCAAGGUGGAGGAUAGUGUCGGGAAACUGACGGUAAUACUCCAUGUGCUCUUCGGAGGAAAGCUUUGGCGCCUCGGGAGCGGCGAUCGUCCUAUCAGGUAGUUGGUGAGGUAAUGGCUCACCAAGCCGAAGACGGGUAGCGGGUGUGAGAGCAUGACCCGCCGCAUCGGGACUGAGACACUGCCCGGACUCCUACGGGAGGCUGCAGCGACGAAUCUUCCGCAAUGGGCGCAAGCUUGACGGAGCAAUGCCGCGUGUGGGACGAAGCGUCUUCGACGUGUAAACCACUGUCAGAAUCUAGGAACACUGACCAGAUUCAAAGGAAGGGCCGGCUAACCUCGUG